GCCCUUAGAGUUUGAUCAUGGCUCAGAACGAACGCUGGCGGCAGGCUUAACACAUGCAAGUCGAGCGAAGACUUCGGUCUUAGCGGCGGACGGGUGAGUAACGCGUGGGAACGUGCCCUUUGCUACGGAAUAGUCCCUGGAAACGGGGUUUAAUACCGUAUGUCCUCUCUGGAGGAAAGAUUUAUCGGCAAAGGAUCGGCCCGCGUUGGAUUAGGUAGUUGGUGGGGUAAUGGCCUACCAAGCCGACGAUCCAUAGCUGGUUUGAGAGGAUGAUCAGCCACACUGGGACUGAGACACGGCCCAGACUCCUACGGGAGGCAGCAGUGGGGAAUCUUAGACAAUGGGGGAAACCCUGAUCUAGCCAUGCCGCGUGAGCGAUGAAGGCCUUAGGGUUGUAAAGCUCUUUCGCUGGGGAAGAUAAUGACGGUACCCAGUAAAGAAGCCCCGGCUAACUCCGUGCCAGCAGCCGCGGUAAUACGGAGGGGGCUAGCGUUGUUCGGAAUUACUGGGCGUAAAGCGCGCGUAGGCGGGCUGGAAAGUUGGGGGUGAAAUCCCGGGGCUCAACCCCGGAACUGCCUCCAAAACUAUCAGCCUCGAGUUCGAGAGAGGUGAGUGGAAUUGCGAGUGUAGAGGUGAAAUUCGUAGAUAUUCGCAGGAACACCAGUGGCGAAGGCGGCUCACUGGCUCGAUACUGACGCUGAGGUGCGAAAGUGUGGGGAGCAAACAGGAUUAGAUACCCUGGUAGUCCACACCGUAAACGAUGAAUGCCAGACGUCGGGCAGCAUGCUGUUCGGUGUCACACCUAACGGAUUAAGCAUUCCGCCUGGGGAGUACGGCCGCAAGGUUAAAACUCAAAGGAAUUGACGGGGGGCCCGCACAAGCGGUGGA
rnacentral:rRNA from 1 species